UUUCCUAGCAACGCUAUAAGUACAACAGCCUUACCUGUUUAGAAAUUCAAAUUUCACAUCGAUAAUUUUCCGACUUUAACAUAGGGGAAGGAUGGAUAAAGUGGCCCAGGCAGGUAAAGUGGCCACCUUCUGUUUCCGGACGAACCAAUAUAAGCUAUAGGUCUAAGACAUAUUGAAAUAAUUCAUCGGUUGACGCCAUAUUGCCUCCGUAAACACCGGCCGGGUCAGUGCUCGUCUUCAGAUUUUAUGGUGGAAUAAUUGUGUUUUGUGGUAUCUGAUCUAAUGUGAGUGAUCUGAACAUAGUUAAAAAGUAAUGUCAUCAGUUUCAUAGAAAGACAAUGCACAAUUUUAUCGAUUUGGUGGAUCAAUUGACCUAUCCAUUGUGCUGCAAAGUAGGUCAAUAUAACCUCAUUUUCCAUUUUUAGUAUAUUUUUUUCACCGCAUGCUAAAUCGGGUAAAAUAGCCCACCAAUAGAGGCAAUGGAUAAAGCUAUACAAGCUGUACGAAAAGGUGAAAUAGGAUUCUUGAAAGCAAGCAAAACUUUCAGUGUUCCUCCAACAACUCUCAAACGUCGUUGAAAAUAUAAAAAUACUGGAGCCUCGUCGUCCAAUUUUUAUUCCAAAACAAGAGGAAGAAUUGGUGCAACAUAUUUUAGAACUGGAAAACAUUGAAUCAGGACGUUAAUAUAAGUACCCAGGUAACACCAGCUGCAGUUACUCCAUCGACAUUUGAUCCUUACUUGAACCCACAACCUAGAACAUCCUUCGCAAUAUCGCCUUGCCACAUAUUUUCGAUUCCCAAAGCAUUGCCAAAGACUAGAAAUGUGAAUAGAAAGAGACGGCGUUCGGUAGUUUUAACCAGCAGCCCAUAUAAAAAUGAGUUAUAAGGAGAAUCAAUACAGCAAGAACAAAAGAAAGCUACAAAGAAAGUGAAAAAAUCUACUAUUGAACAAACCCCAACUGAAUCUGGCAAAAAACCUAAAACUGAAAUAAAAAAACGUGGCAGGACCGUUGCUAAAAAGAAAAAUGAUAAAUAUAAUGACGACGAUAUAAUGACACAGAUGAUGACUCUGAAUGCUUUUACUGUUUCGAAGUUUGGUCUGAAUCAAAACAUAAAGAUGGUUGGAUAUAGUGUUGUAAUUGUACCCGACGGGCACAUUAAGCGUGCUCGGGUUGUGAUAACAACUAUGGUAACUUUCAUAGUGAAUUUUGUUCUUAAGAAUAUUUUCAAUUAGGUACGAUUAUGAAUGAACAUAUAUAAAUGAAGAGGUGGUUACUUAUAUUCUAUAGAUUAGUAACUAAAAGCUGAUUAUAUUUGUUAUUAAUGAAUAAUUAAGAAGAAGCUGUUGAUAAGUGAAUAAGGACUUUAUGAUAAGUAAGAAUAAGUAUGUUUAAAUUAAGAAAAAUGAAAGACUGUUGAUUGUUGUGAAUUAAUACAAUACUUUUUUAGUUAAAAACUGUUGUUCAAGUUAAAUAUUUUUUCCAUGCAAAAUUUCAAUAAAUCUCCAUUAAAAUAACAUAA